CCUACGGGCGGCAGCAGUGGGGAAUAUUGCGCAAUGGGGGAAACCCUGACGCAGCAACGCCGCGUGAGUGAGGAAGUAUCUCGGUAUGUAAAGCUCUAUCAGCGGGGAAGAAAGAGGACGGUACCCGACUAAGAAGCCCCGGCUAACUACGUGCCAGCAGCCGCGGUAAUACGUAGGGGGCGAGCGUUAUCCGGAUUUACUGGGUGUAAAGGGAGCGUAGACGGCAGGGCAAGUCAGAUGUGAAAACCCGGGGCUCAACCCCGGGAGUGCAUUUGAAACUGUCCAGCUGGAGUGCAGGAGAGGUAAGCGGAAUUCCUAGUGUAGCGGUGAAAUGCAUAGAUAUUAGGAGGAACACCAGUGGCGAAGGCGGCUUACUGGACUGUAACUGACACUGAGGCUCGAAAGCGUGGGGAGCAAACAGGAUUAGAUACCCGUGUAGUC
rnacentral:rRNA from 1 species